GAUGAACGCUGGCGGCAUGCCUAAUACAUGCAAGUCGAACGAAGUCUUUAGGAAGCUUGCUUCCAAAGAGACUUAGUGGCGAACGGGUGAGUAACACGUAGGUAGCCUGCCCAUGUGCCCGGGAUAACUGCUGGAAACGGUAGCUAAAACCGGAUAGGUAUGAGGGAGGCAUCUUCCUCAUAUUAAAGCACCUUCGGGUGUGAACAUGGAUGGACCUGCGGCGCAUUAGCUGGUUGGUGAGGUAACGGCCCACCAAGGCGAUGAUGCGUAGCCGACCUGAGAGGGUGAACGGCCACAUUGGGACUGAGACACGGGCCCAAACUCCUACGGGAGGCAGCAGUAGGGAAUUUUUCGUCAAUGGGGGAACCCUGAACGAGCAAUGCCGCGUGUGUGAAGAAGGUCUUCGGGAUCGUAAAGCACUGUUGUAAGUGAAGAAUGCCAUAUAGAGGAAAUGCUAUGUGGGUGACGGUAGCUUACCAGAAAAGCCAACGGGCUAAACUACGU
rnacentral:rRNA from 1 species